CUCUGUAUCUCCCCCCUUUUUCUCAGACUUUCCCCCCUUUCUCCCUCUCUCUCUUUCACUCUCGCGGUAUCAUACUGCAAUAUAAAUAUUUACUAGAACCACUCAGCCCUCUCAUUGCCCCCCCCCCUCUUCCUCCUCCCUUGCAUCCCUCUGCAUUUCCUCCUCCCUCCCCCCUUCUUUCUCCCCUCCAUCCAUCCAUCCAUCCAUCCCUGGCUCCCUCCCUGCAUCCCUCCCUCGCCGUCCUGCCUUUUUUUCUCCUGCCUCCUAUCGCCUCUUUCUGCUUCUCCAAGCAAAACGGAGGCGCCACACCAGCGUCUGUGGAUCCACAUGCUAAAAGUCUGACCUAAAUACUUCAGGUUUUUGAUGAUUGGACCAAAACAGAGAUCAGAGGCGUCCGGCGGGCUUGUCGUGAUAGUGGAGGGAAAGGGGAGGAAGGCUGAGGAUCUGGACACACUCGCACAGAGAUGCUGUGAGAUGAAAAAGCUGCAGCGUAUCAGCUCCCUGCCCCCCAACCAAGCCACCGCUAAUCCAUGCCUGGGCGGGAGGGGUCCAUCAUUCACACGCUUGGAGGGGACGCCGGACAACCUUUGACCUUGGCUUGUGACCACACCUUGAGAUUGAAGAGCCGGUAAUGCAGCCAUGGCAGUCGGCCCACCAGUUAAUGAUCUGCUGCUUCCUUUUUCCAGCUUAAUACAGAUCCAUACUGCUCGCCACCAUUGCAACUCACACACACACACACACAUAUUGUCUUCCUACCAAACACAGUCCAGGCAGGAAACAUAGAGGUCAAAGAACGCCUCACCGGUUUCCUAAGUGCACCCAUUCAUUUUUCAUUUAAUGAUGUGAGAGGAUGUGAUAGGUGUAAGCACCGUGAUGAAGUCCCCUCUGAUUCCAUCACCGGCUGCUCCUCCGUCCUGCAGGACACAGAAUAAGGAAGGGCAGCUCCGACCAGGAGUUUUUAAAAACGUUCCAGUCCUAAACUGCUUACUCAGCUGAAUAUUAGUCCUGAGUGUGAAAAGAUUCAUUUUGUGGUUCAUCAUUAGAGUGAUACAUUUAGCUGAGAUUAUAUUGUAUGCAUCAAUCAUAGUAUUCAGACUUAACUUUUCUCGAAGCUUUUCAAUAACAUUUUUUAUGUUGAAUUCCAAAGAUGAAAUCGGCAAAGAAGUGUAGUGCAUAAGAACAUUGAAAUCGCACAGACUCAAUCCUAAGCAUAGGACCAAAACAUUGAAAAUCCUGAGAGACAUUUUUCAGUGCCUGGGGAUUAAAAGUGCAAAAAGCGAUUCUGCAGAAUGAUAGUUGAUUGAUGAGUCUCAUUCCCAGGUCCGAAAAUACUGAUGCUUGGCGUUGGCAGGUCGGGCCCCCACAAGUCGGUGCUAAACAUGAACUGCCCAAAUUGAGUCCAGCUGGAAACGGUUUACCACAUUCACACCUAUGGCAAGCCUGUGUUAAUGUAUGAUGUCAAUUCAUGAUGAGCGCAUUUUGAUCUGAUUGUUAUCAAAUUUGAAGGUGGAGGUGAUGAUGGGAUCUGGGCUGGGUGUAAAUGUAAAUCUAUACAAUGUGUCCACAUUCUUAUAGGUUCGGUUUUUAUGAUUUCUGGGGAUUAGUGGACAGAAAUCGAAUAUAACAUUUAUAAUUAUGUUUUUAUCAGUGUGUAAUCACUUGAAACUAAGAAUUGACGUGAUUUGUUAAUUUAGAAUGAGACUUUUAUGUCUACAGAGGGAGCAGGUCCUCUUCCAUUGAGUCUGACAUGUUGCACAGUGUGUUUCUACAGUGGAAUCUACCCAGAAUGGAUGAAAAGAGGGUCAGUGAUACAUUUUCCGUAGUAUUAUCAAAUCCUACACACUGGACCUUUUUAAAAAAAAAAUCAAUCACCAAGUUUAGCAUUUUCCAAACUGUGCCUCUUCCUGACCUGGGAUGCACCGUGUGCUUUUUGACAAGUCCACCUGCGCCACCGUACUAAUUUGCAUGAUCUACAGUUACACGCUACAUCACAGUGCUGGCAUUAUCAGGAGAAUGAGAACACUUACUAGUUCCAGGUCCCAUUGAUCAGACAUUAUGAUCCAGAUGAUACUGUAUAUCCAGACACAAAUCCUAGACAUGUCUUUCCCCAUUUAUCUCCCUUAAUUUCUUGUCAUCUCUUUACUUUCAAAUCUAUUUUUAAAUGAAAACAGUGUUUCUUUUAAAGAAGGCACAGUAUCAACCUUGGGCUUCAGUAGUCAUCAGUUUCAUCAAUCAAUCGAUCAAUCAAUCGAUCAGUCAGUCAAGAAACUAAUCUGUUGAUCAGCUCAAUAGUUUUGCGGGAUCAGUCAUCCAAGAGUGCCAUGGUUACUAUUAACCCAGUUUAAACCAUGUGCUGUCAGAACUCUCUUUGAGUGUUAAGUCUGGGGGGGGGGCGAGACAAGUGAGGCACACCUCAGCUCUCUGAAGUGGCUUUCCCUUCUCUGAACACUGAUCUGAUAAGAUAGGAGCAAACCCCACCACAUAUUUGUUUUCACCGCUCUUUCACUGCGGAGAAGAGAGCUCCUCUGGAAGUGGAUUCCACCAGAGAGGAGGAAUCCAGGGCUGGUUAUUGGCUUUGGCCCCCCAUCAGACUGACCCGGAGAAACCAAACAUCUGCUUCUCUUAUGUGAUGGGGACAGUAACAAUAUACGCUUGGCAGUAACCACCAGCUUCCUCGCUUACACAAAGGGAGAGUAGUCCCAUGACUCAAGGACGG
ensembl:lncRNA